rnacentral:rRNA from 1 species
AAUAGGCGGAGGAAAAGAAACUAACAAGGAUUCCCCUAGUAACGGCGAGUGAAGCGGGAAGAGCUCAAAUUUGAAAUCUGGUAGCCUUCGGCUGCCCGAGUUGUAAUCUAGAGAAGUGUUUUCCGUGCCGGCCCAUGUACAAGUCCCUUGGAACAGGGCGUCAUAGAGGGUGAGAAUCCCGUCCUUGACAUGGACCCCCGGUGCUUUGUGAUACACUUUCAACGAGUCGAGUUGUUUGGGAAUGCAGCUCAAAAUGGGUGGUGAAUUCCAUCUAAAGCUAAAUAUUGGCGAGAGACCGAUAGCGAACAAGUACCGUGAGGGAAAGAUGAAAAGCACUUUGGAAAGAGAGUUAAACAGUACGUGAAAUUGUUGAAAGGGAAACGAUUGAAGUCAGUCAUGCUCUUUGGAUUCAGCCGUUCUGCGGUGUAUUUCCAUUGAGUGGGGUCAACAUCAGUUUUGAUCGCUGGAUAAAGGCACUAGGAAGGUAGCACUCUCGGGUGAACUUAUAGCCUAGCGUCAUAUACAGUGAUUGGGACUGAGGAACGCAGCAUGCCUUUAUGGCCGGGAUUCGUCCACGUACAUGCUUAGGAUGUGACAUAAUGGCUUUAAACGACCC